UGUAAAGUCACAAGGUAACAUCACUGUAAGCUGGCUGCCACCUGUUUUAUAAAAGAAAGGCGGUCACCGUGCCUAGCCAGUGCUUAGGUGACACUCGCGCCGUGAUGUGCUGUGAUCUGAAAGUCGCACGGUGACAUCACUGUAAACUGGCUGUCAGCUGGCUGGCUGUAAAGUCACAAGACGGAAUGCGUGAACUACACGAUGAACUCAAGCUCGUGGUGCUGAUUUUCUGCAACUCACAAAGCCGAUCCCAUGCGAUAUUGAACUGCCGUGGCGUACGCGCCAGUGCCAGACGUGCAAAUGGUCCCAAUGUUCUA